UCAGAGCUAUAGGUUUCAGCGAAUUAGGUUUCUGUGUAGAGAUACCUAGGCUUUAACCUCACUUUCCCUCUGGGGACUUAGAUUUUUAAGACAUUGAAUACGUAUUGAACGCAUAGGAUUCGAAUAUGGGUUCCAACCGUUGCCAAGAACAAUGAGUCAACUGUUUUGAUUUUAAACAUAUACAAAUGUUGUGUCGAUACACAGUACAUGAAACAAUUACACACAUAAAGCAAGACAGUGAGAGUUGUGGUAACACACAUUUAGGACCUCUGGAAAACUUAUGUCGAAAUUCAUUAAAGGUCCUCACGUAGGAACUAUGACUAUUAACUCGGGCAAACGCCAUCAUAUUAUGUAGUCUAUGCUAUUUCACUUACCCGAGCAGGUAACCUACGCGGAACAAAACGCUAGUGCACAAGGAUACAUGAAACUCAAAUUAUACGUCAAUGGAUGUCGGAGCACAUCACAUUCUACGCAGAACGAAACGCCAGUGCACAAGUAUACAUGAAACUUAAACUACACGUCAGCGGACGUCAAAGUAUAUCACACACGACUUUCGAGACAAGGCCUUGGGAAAACAUGAUUGGGCACGAUAGCAACGAUGCUAAUCCCGACAGCGGGAGAACUUCCAACUACAAUGCAGCACUUUGCCACGUGAUCAUGCAAACGACACGAUUCUCGCUGAGGUACGUUAGAACAAGAUUUCACAACGGCCGGUACUUAGUCUAAAAGAGACUCACAGUUGUUGGCGCUGCAAAAGAAGUCACAGUUCUUCACGUCCCCCUAUUUCAUUUAUGGCAAUUACGCAAUGUUCGACAUUCCAUGGUAAUGUCACUUAACAAAAGUUAUCACACGAAAUUCCAGGUAAAGUCCUCAAAAUUCUUUUGUUGAAAUUCCGACAUUUGCAUAUAGUGAGUAGGUUUUGGUAUUUCUACUCCCCCUAAUGAUCCUUGCAUCCCGAAAAUUUUCUUUCAUAAUAGCGAAUACUCAUUUGCUUCAUUCUUGACGAAUUCAUAUGUUACACAUGCGUUAUUUGUUAAGCAUGUGGCUUCACUUGAAAUUGUUGCUUUAUCAAGUUCAAAUAUUAUUUCGGUAUCUUCACUCCUUGCAUUGUGAUCUAGCUAAACCACAUUAUUGCAUAAUGUUGACUCCUUGAUAUCGAGUCAACGAAACUUGUUGAAACUCCUUUCCUUUUCAAGCUACAUACAUGGUUUUUCGUUGUAACCAUGUCAAAAAUUUUCGUGUUGAUACAUGCAUUCCUUGUUGUAAUGUGACUAAAUCAAGUUCAAUUGUUUGAACUUGCUCACAAUAUAUAUUCGAUUCAAGAUUCCAUAUGAUGGAUUGAGGCCAUCAUAUUUGAAAUAAUCCUAACAAGCACUUCAUUUGCUUUGAACCAUAACAGGCUUGUUUGGUCUUUGACUUCAUUGAAUCGUUUCUUUGAUCACGAUCACCUUGUGGUGGCGUUUUUUCACAAGUUUGAAGCUUGCGCUAAUCUCGUUGCUCACCUCAUGUACAGAUUUAAUUAUUUAUUUAUUUGUUUAUUGAUAUUAAAUCCGCUUUGUUGAUUUAUCAUAUUAAAACAAUCUUAACACACUCGUGUGUUAAGAUAAUGGUACACAAAUUUAUGUCAUAUUUCGGUGUACCUCUUUAACGGUUCUUUCAGUAUCGAUCGAACAUCUUGUGAUAUUCAUUGCUUUCCAUCUUCGAUCGAAAACAUUAUUUAUUUGCUUCAUUUUCAAUUGAAAAUCCUAUGAGAUUUGUUUGAAACAAACAUUCGGAUUUACUUCAUUGAACCUUUCAUCUGAUUUCAAAGACGGUGAACUUGUUCGGUCACCGCUAUUGUUGAAUUAUUUUAUUCACUACGACACCUUGUGGCGUCAGUAUAAACUUGUAGCUUGUGCUAAUCAUGAACAAGCAUUUCAUGCGAAACUAUGUAUGCCUCUUGUUUAACAAAUCAUUUAAAUAGUCUUAAUACAACUAUGUAUUAAGACGAUGAUACACCAGGUUCGGUUGUAUUUCAGUUUGGUGUAUCCUUGCAAUUCGAUAAUGUCAACACAUUGAUUUUAUUCAUUUAACGGUUCGAUUGAUGAACAUUUUCAUGUCUCUAUGUCAAACGAAUUUGUUGAAUUCGAGUUUCAUUCAUACAACAACCAACGCAAGUUUCCGUUGGUAGUGAAUUCUAUUGUUUCAAAAAUUGAUUUGAAGUUUGUGAGCGUUCAUUUGGAACUCUAUUGGCCGAAAUUCCUCUUUUGUUGAACCCCGUAUACUUGGUUGCAUGGGUGAUAGUAUCACUACGCUUUGUUCAUUUGACCUCGAUUUCUGGAACAAACUCAGUUGAACCGUUGGGUUCUUAUUGAUGCAAAAUGUCCUUACAUUCACGUAAUCUGAAUGAGUUUUGAUUCGAUUAUGCCUUUAUUCACUUUGGUAUUAUUCGGACUUACCUAGGAACUACACAACUCUGAGGAGAUAACAUGGACUAAAUUUCGAGGACGAAAUUUCCGCAACAGGGGGAGAAUGUGACAACCGGUAAUUUCCGAGUUUUAAUUACGCGCAUAACGAACAUUAAUACAAUCAUAAGUAGUGUAAUUAGACGUAAAUUAACUUAAAUAGGCCCUUGGAAAGCCUAGGAGCGUCUACUUGAUUCACGUUACGCGAACGUCUUAAACUAAAUAAAUAUCUAAAGCGUGAAAACAAUGAAAUUAUUAUUAUUUAGGUGGGCGGCAUCAGACAACUCGCGUAUGAGGUAUACACUCGCACAUAUCAAAUACCCAACUAGUUUAUGCAGUUAUUUGCGAGACCUCAAAAAUUAAUUAUCAUAUAUAACUCCUACAUAGAAAACCCGAACGUACACUAUACAUCUUAAAUAUGUGUGUAUAUAAAUGAACUUGUAACCUGUACAUAUACACUUAGAUUAAUAUAUACACACUUAAAUUGCCUACAUUCAUAUAAAAAAAAUGGAGAUGUAGGUGAAUUAAUUAGAUAAAUGGAAGUAAAAAAAAAGGAGAUAUAUAAAAAAAAAUACCAACUCUUAUGGCAGUGCACAUCACGUGGCUUUGUCUCAAAAUCAUGUUUUCUUUUCUUGUUGGAAUUGUCCAAGCAUUUAUGAGGUAUGGUCAGCUAUAUGAAAAAAAAAUCUCUAAAACCUACUUUGACCAUAAAAACUCCAACAACUCAAGAACUGGCAUUUCAAAAUUUCCAAAACUCAAAACUCAGACCCCUUCUUUCUCUGCUUACCUCCAUCACCGGUGACCGAAGAGUUCCAGCUGGGCAUCGACGUCUUUACCGGCAAACACCCCUCACCCCUUUCAUCUUAUACCGUGCCCUCUUUCUCUCUGUGUGUUCAUGAACGGCCGACCACCGGUGAAGCCGGUGGCGGUGCGGUGCGGUGACAACGACAGAAAACCGGCAGAGCCGGGGGUACCAAUGCAACGCUCACGGCGGCGACGGUAGUGAAAUUUCACGCCGGCGACGACCGGAAAGCCGGAAACGGACAGCGGUGGUGGCACUUCUGCUCUGAUAAAAUUCCGGCGGGGUGGAGCUUUCCGGUGACAAUCGAAGAAGGACAUGAUGGUGUUAAUGAUGAUGAAGUGGUGGUGUUGGCCAACGGCGGCGCUCACCGCCGGAGCCAUGCCGUCUACGGCAGUGGCGGUAAUGGUGGUGGUUUUGUUCACGUUUCAAGUUUGUGGGUUGGUUCAAGUUCAGUUAAGUGUCGGUUCGGGUGACAUCUCGGGUCUCGGUUCGGUUUGGUUCAACAAGACAGGCUACGGGUCAAACUUAGUCCACCUCGGGUCACGAUUUGGUUCGGUCAGAUUUCAGUUCAGAUUACGGUUCAGGUCAGUCGCGGUCAACAGGUCAAAGCGGUCAACCCGGGUCAGACCCGGUCAACUCAGUUUCGGCUCAGUCAAGAUUGGUCAAAAUAGGUCAACAAAAGUCAACGGUCAAACUUGGUCAACGACAGUCAAAACAGUCAAUUCAAAGGCCCGGAAUGCUCUAGUUGCACGCUAGCGAGUUCACAUUCUUGGAAUGACACUACGGAAUCACGCUAGGCUAGCUUUGCACAGGAAUGUCAAGGUUACAUUUUCAAAACUAUGGAACGGUUGGAAUAGGAGAGCCCAUGGAAAUUCGAGUACUUAGCAGGCGUUCAAUUUCUAAAAAUCGUAGCUUUUCGCUUCCGCUGUGCAAUGAAGAUACCGGUCCAGUCACGCCAUGCUCUGAUAUUUCGGGGUGUGACACAACUAACAUAAUCAAUAGAUGCUCUAUACUCCCUUACAUUCACAAAUUAGAGUCUAUAUUUCGUGACAACUUAAUCUAUGUUAACUUCAUAUUUUGCUCAACCAACUAUAUAUGUAUAUCAUUUUACGUGUUUUAGUUUAUAUCUCAUGACAAUUUCACCUAUACACUCAUUUUUUACCUUCAUACUCAAAACUUCUUGGCUUUUUACAUGUUUAAAUUCGUAUAUUACGAUUCAUACCAUAAACAAAAUCAUUACGUAUUACACUCAU